rnacentral:rRNA from 1 species
UACGGGGGGAGCAAGCGUUGUUCGGAUUUACUGGGCGUAAAGGGCGCGUAGGCGGUCGUGACAAGUCACUUGUGAAAUCUCCGGGCUUAACUCGGAACGGUCAAGUGAUACUGUCGGACUAGAGUACAGAAGGGGCAACUGGAAUUCUCGGUGUAGCGGUGAAAUGCGUAGAUAUCGUAAGGAAGACCAGUGGCGAAGGCGGGUCUCUGGACAGUUCCUGACGCUGAGGCACGAAGGUCAGGAGAGCAAACGGG